rnacentral:rRNA from 1 species
GACGAACGCUGGCGGCGUGCUUAACACAUGCAAGUCGAACGGAAAGGCCCUGCUUUUGUGGGGUGCUCGAGUGGCGAACGGGUGAGUAACACGUGAGUAACCUGCCCUUGACUUUGGGAUAACUUCAGGAAACUGGGGCUAAUACCGGAUAGGAGCUCCUGCUGCAUGGUGGGGGUUGGAAAGUUUCGGCGGUUGGGGAUGGACUCGCGGCAUAUCAGCUUGUUGGUGGGGUAGUGGCUUACCAAGGCUUUGACGGGAAGCCGGCCUGAGAGGGUGAACGGCCACAUUGGGACUGAGAUACGGCCCAGACUCCUACGGGAGGCAGCAGUGGGGAAUAUUGCACAAUGGGCGGAAGCCUGAUGCAGCAACGCCGCGUGCGGGAUGACGGCCUUCGGGUUGUAAACCGCUUUCGCCUGUGACGAAGCGUGAGUGACGGUAAUGGGUAAAGAAGCACCGGCUAACUACGUGCCAGCAGCCGCGGUAA